CAGCUUUCCCACCCCACGCUUGGUGCAAAGCAGCAUCAGGACAGCCAGGGUCCCUGGUUCACAUCAUCUGGGUUCUGUGUGUGUGUGUGUGUGUGUGUGUGCUUGUGCUGUGUGUGUUGCUCAGCGAUACAGUAACAAAACUUCCUGUGUGUGUUUGUGC